UGGACAGGCAGGGCCAUCAGCACGGGUGCCAGGCCUGGCCCUUCUCCUUCUCCACCCCCAGUUGUGGGGGAGGGAACUCAGGCCUGUUGCCCCCACCCCCUCCCUGGCUCUCCAGAAGGGGAAUGAGUCAGGGUUGAGUGUGUGGGUGACUCAGCAACCUCCACAGCCCAGUUUCAUUCAUAAAAAAGGAAGAAUUUAAAAGGAGGGAACAAAACCACACAUGCUGCUCUCACCGAGCCAUCCUCCCUUGCCCCGGGGCCCACGGUGGGGGACUGGGCAGAACCCAGAAGAGCAGCACUGAAGCUGAGGGAAGUGAGGAGUGACUGGCUGGGGAGGGAGGCAGCAGCCAGGGAGAGGAAACGGGUAGGGGUGGGUGGUGGAGGGUGCAGGGGAACCAGGUGGUCUUGGCACACAGGGCAGCUGCUGGGCUGAGGG